AGUGAACGCUGGCGGUAGGCCUAACACAUGCAAGUCGAACGGCAGCACAGUAAGAGCUUGCUCUUACGGGUGGCGAGUGGCGGACGGGUGGGGAAUACAUCGGAAUCUACUUUUUCGUGGGGGAUAACGUAGGGAAACUUACGCUAAUACCGCAUACGACCUACGGGUGAAAGCAGGGGAUCUUCGGACCUUGCGCGAUUGAAUGAGCCGAUGUCGGAUUAGCUAGUUGGCGGGGUAAAGGCCCACCAAGGCGACGAUCCGUAGCUGGUCUGAGAGGAUGAUCGGCCACACUGGAACUGAGAAACGGUCCAGACUCCUACGGGAGGCAGCAGUGGGGAAUAUUGGACAAUGGGCGCAAGCCUGAUCCAGCCAUACCGCGUGGGUGAAGAAGGCCUUCGGGUUUUAAAGCCCUUUUGUUGGGAAAGAAAAGCAGCAGGUUAAUACCCCGCUGUUCUGACGGUACCCAAAGAAUAAGCACCGGCUAACUUCGUG
rnacentral:rRNA from 1 species